UAGGGUUCGAUUAUGGCUCAGAUUGAACGCUGGCGGCAGGCUUAACACAUGCAAGUCGAGCGGAAACGAUGAUAGCUUGCUAUCAGGCGUCGAGCGGCGGACGGGUGAGUAAUGCUUAGGAAUCUGCCCAGUAGUGGGGGACAACAGUCGGAAACGGCUGCUAAUACCGCAUACGCCCUACGGGGGAAAGCAGGGGAUCUUCGGACCUUGCGCUAUUGGAUGAGCCUAAGUCGGAUUAGCUAGUUGGUGAGGUAAAGGCUCACCAAGGCGACGAUCCGUAGCUGGUUUGAGAGGAUGAUCAGCCACAUCGGGACUGAGACACGGCCCGAACUCCUACGGGAGGCAGCAGUGGGGAACAUUGGACAAUGGGGGCAACCCUGAUCCAGCCAUGCCGCGUGUGUGAAGAAGGCUUUCGGGUUGUAAAGCACCUUCAGCGAGGAGGAAGGCUCUAAAGUUAAUACCUUUAGGGAUUGACGUUACUCGCAGAAGAAGCACCGGCUAACUCCGUGCCAGCAGCCGCGGUAAUACA
rnacentral:rRNA from 1 species